rnacentral:rRNA from 1 species
CGGGACACGUGGUAUCCUGUCUGAAUAUGGGGGGACCAUCCUCCAAGGCUAAAUACUCCUGACUGACCGAUAGUGAACCAGUACCGUGAGGGAAAGGCGAAAAGAACCCCGGCGAGGGGAGUGAAAAAGAACCUGAAACCGUGUACGUACAAGCAGUGGGAGCACGCUUAGGCGUGUGACUGCGUACCUUUUGUAUAAUGGGUCAGCGACUUAUAUUCUGUAGCAAGGUUAACCGAAUAGGGGAGCCGAAGGGAAACCGAGUCUUAACUGGGCGUUAAGUUGCAGGGUAUAGACCCGAAACCCGGUGAUCUAGCCAUGGGCAGGUUGAAGGUUGGGUAACACUAACUGGAGGACCGAACCGACUAAUGUUGAAAAAUUAGCGGAUGACUUGUGGCUGGGGGUGAAAGGCCAAUCAAACCGGGAGAUAGCUGGUUCUCCCCGAAAGCUAUUUAGGUAGCGCCUCGUGAAUUCAUCUCCGGGGGUAGAGCACUGUUUCGGCAAGGGGGUCAUCCCGACUUACCAACCCG